UACGUAGGAGGCAAGCGUUGUCCGGAAUUACUGGGCGUAAAGCGCGUGUAGGUGGUGGGACAAGUCUGCUGUGAAAGCGCCUGGCUUAACCGGGCGAGGUCGGCGGAAACUGUCCGACUCGAGGACGGUAGAGGGGGGUGGAAUUCCCGGUGUAGUGGUGAAAUGCGUAGAGAUCGGGGGGAACACCUGUGGCGAAGGCGGCCCCCUGGGCCGGCCCUGACACUGAGACGCGAAGGCGUGGGGAGCGAACGGG
rnacentral:rRNA from 1 species